AUUGCGACCCCAGGUCAGAC
rnacentral:rRNA from 1 species